rnacentral:lncRNA from 1 species
UGCACCCCUUCCCCUUUCUUCAUAUGGUGCCAGACGCACCAUGUUCCUUCAUCAUCUUUUUAUUAUUUUAUUAUAUAUUUUUUUUCUUUAAUUAUGGUGCAGUGUUCCACCAUCCCAUUUUUUAAUAUUUUUUUUUUUGUAUAAAUUUUGAUGAUGGGAUGGGGAAUUUGCAGGGAGGACGAAGACGACGUAGAGUUGGAGUCGAGGCUUCAUGACUGGCUAGUCGUUUGACGGCGGUUAUUGAGGUUCUUCGCCAUUGCUGUUUGCCACUGCCACUGCACCACCAUUGCACCGCCACUGCAUUCUUGUUGCCCUGCACCGCCGCCAUUGCACAGCGACUACACAACCAUUGCACUGCCGUUGCUGUUUUCCUGCGAAGAUGAGGACACACCGUUGCCUAAGGACGAGCCGAGAUGUUUUUGUGCCAUGCAGAGGGUGACCCUUGGAUCCUGCACAGAGCU